rnacentral:misc_RNA from 1 species
GAAAUGCGAUAAGUAAUGUGAAUUGCAGAAUUCAGUGAAUCAUCGAAUCUUUGAACGCACAUUGCGCCCCCUGGCAUUCCGGGGGGCAUGCCUGUUCGAGCGUCAUUAACACCACUCAAGCUCAGCUUGGUAUUGGGUCAUGCCAGUGAUGGCAGAUCAUAAAUUCAGUGGCGGCGCCGCAGGGUACCGAGCGUAGUAAUCAUAUCUCGCUCGGGUGCCUCGUGGUCGACGACCAACAACCCCCACCAUGCUAAGGUUGACCUCGGAUCAGGUAGGGAUACCCGCUGAACUUAA